UUUUUUUGUAAACAUAUUUUAAAUUCAAAAUAAAAUAAGUAAAGGAAUCAUUUUAUUAUGGAAUAAAAAAUUAACAUGAAUGAAGGAAAAUAGUGUUAAUAAAUCCAAAUCUGAUGUCAAAAAAAAUAAAAAAAUCCAAAUCUAAAUUGCUAACUGAAUUAAUUUGUUUUUUUCCGUGUGUGAGGUUAACAUAUAUUAAAAUUAAAAUGCUAUGUACAACUACAUUUGAUAAUUAUAAGAUUAUAUAUUCUAUUUAAAAACAAAACAAAAAAGAGAAAAA
rnacentral:lncRNA from 1 species